rnacentral:rRNA from 1 species
UACGAAGGGGGCUAGCGUUGCUCGGAAUCACUGGGCGUAAAAGGGUGCGUAGGCGGGUCUUAAGUCAGGGGUGAAAUCCUGGAGCUCAACUCCAGAACUGCCUUUGAUACUGAAGAUCUUGAGGCCGGGAGAGGUAAGUGGAAUUCCCAGUGUAGCGGUGAAAUGCGUAGAUAUCGGGAGGAAUACCGAGGCGAAGGCAGGUCUCUGGGCUGACACUGACGCUCAUGCACGAAAGCGUGGGGAGCAAACAGG